CGUAAGUUUUCUUGCAUUUGUCAAAGUGAUUUCAUUUGCACCUUACACCAUAACAAACAUCUUCUCACACUUUCAGUUGAGAGAGCUCCUCACGAGUGUGAAUGAAAUGUGGCAUGCCCUCUAAUCUCCGAGGGGUGGUGAGGACACGGAGAACACACUCCGCAAUGUCUUAAGAGUUCGUCAAAGGUGCUGGAAACUUGCAGCAAGAUUAGGUUGCAGGUCGGUUGGAUUGGACGACAUGUACCAACCGCGGAGAGUACCACCACCACUACCUCAAUCCGCGCGUCCAAGUACCGCUCGACACUCCAUCAGGAUAGAAGAGCGUGAAGAAGUUGGUGGUUCGUCGUCGUCACGCAUUCCACAAGGGAGGGGAAAGGGGAAGGCGCCGACUCCACCUAGCGUCGAUGAUGACGACGACGACGAGGAGGAUGAGGACUACGUCGCACCAGACGCUGAGGAGAUAGACAUGUCGCAGCUUCCCGAUGCGCCUUAGGGGACGCAACCCACCCAAUACAACUUGCAAUCCACUCGGGUAGGGAAAAAGAGGUACACUCCGGGCUCGCAAGCUAUUCGGCGCCAACGGAAGAAGUGAUUUGUAUGAAGUUAAUCUAUUUGUUGGUAGUAUGACGUAUGUGGUGCACUAUGUGAUAUAAAAUGUGAUGGACUAUGUGAGGACUAUGUGAUGGAUUUUUGGCAUUGUUUCAUGUGUGGAAUA